rnacentral:rRNA from 1 species
AUUGAACGCUGGCGGCAUGCUCUACACAUGCAAGUCGAACGGUAACAGGCCGCAAGGUGCUGACGAGUGGCGAACGGGUGAGUAAUGCAUCGGAACGUGCCCCGUCGUGGGGGAUAACUACUCGAAAGAGUAGCUAAUACCGCAUACGAUCUAUGGAUGAAAGCGGGGGACCGUAAGGCCUCGCGCGAUUGGAGCGGCCGAUGUCAGAUUAGGUAGUUGGUGGGGUAAAGGCUCACCAAGCCAACGAUCUGUAGCUGGUCUGAGAGGACGACCAGCCACACUGGGACUGAGACACGGCCCAGACUCCUACGGGAGGCAGCAGUGGGGAAUUUUGGACAAUGGGCGCAAGCCUGAUCCAGCAAUGCCGCGUGCAGGAAGAAGGCCUUCGGGUUGUAAACUGCUUUUGUACGGAACGAAACGGCUCUGGUUAAUACCCGGGGCUAAUGACGGUACCGUAAGAAUAAGCACCGGCUAACUACGUG